rnacentral:rRNA from 1 species
ACGAACGCUGGCGGCGUGCCUAAUACAUGCAAGUCGAACGCAUUUUCUUUCACCGUAGCUUGCUACACCGAAAGAAAAUGAGUGGCGAACGGGUGAGUAACACGUGGGUAACCUGCCCAUCAGCGGGGGAUAACACUUGGAAACAGGUGCUAAUACCGCAUAAUUCCAUUUACCGCAUGGUAGAUGGGUGAAAGGCGCUUUUGCGUCACUGAUGGAUGGACCCGCGGUGCAUUAGCUAGUUGGUGGGGUAACGGCCUACCAAGGCUGCGAUGCAUAGCCGACCUGAGAGGGUGAUCGGCCACACUGGGACUGAGACACGGCCCAGACUCCUACGGGAGGCAGCAGUAGGGAAUCUUCGGCAAUGGACGCAAGUCUGACCGAGCAACGCCGCGUGAGUGAAGAAGGUUUUCGGAUCGUAAAACUCUGUUGUUAGAGAGGAACAAGGAUGAGAGUGGAAAGUUCAUCCCUUGACGGUAUCUAACCAGAAAGCCACGGCUAACUACGUG